GGAACACGAAUCGAAAGAACUAUCUAUGGCUUGUAAUUUCCAUUCAAGAUAUGAGAUCUAAAGUCGUUUAUGGAAAAGCCGUAGAAGGAAGAGGCAGGGACAUGAAUAAGAAGAUUGGAGGUAGGUUAAACCAAGGACCAUAAAGAUGGGAUCAUGCUGCUGCAACUAGAUCAUCGAACCUUUCUGAAUUUGCUUCUCUUGAGGAAGAAAAGGCCCAAAUGUUCCUUUCAUUUUUCUGUAACAGCAGACUCGUUCUAUAGUCUUUUUUAUAAUUUGGUUGUUGGCUGGUAUUAGAGAAGCUUGAUGCGAGGACAAAAUAACCGAGGUGAAUCUCGCUAUCAUGGUAAGGUUGGUGAUAUCGAAGAAAGUUCGAUCUUAUUCUAACCGUUCCUAUUCAAAUGCCGCUACUGCUACAGGUACAUGUACUACUGUAUCUAUUAGUUAUGUAAUCAAAUUCAAAAGUUAACAGUUGGAGAACGAUAUACAAGAGAUACCAGUAAUUCAUCAUUUAAACUUUCAAUAGGAAAGGGAAUAAGUGCAUCGACACUAGGAUUUAAUAGCACGAAAAGCCAAAGGAGAUUUAUAAAUCUUUUUAUUGUUUUGACAGGUCUUUAGUAAUGAAACGAUUCUUAUUGUUUUUAGGUUUGUUGUGUUGGCUUCCAAUCUCAUUAGUCAAUGUGAGU